GGUUUGAUCUCAUGGCUCAGAUUGAACGCUGGCAGGAUGCUUUACACGCUGACAAGUCGAACGGCAGCACGGACUUCCCGGUCUGGUGGCGAGUGGCGAACGGGUGAGUAAUGUAUCGGAACGUGCCUGGCUCGAGGGGAUAACUGCAUGGCGCGCAACUAAUACCACCUGUCGCCCUUCGGGGGAAAGCGGGGGACCUUCGGGCCUCGCACUAAUAGAGCGGCCGAUAUCGGAUUAGCUAGUUGGUGGAGGUAACGGCUCACCAAGGCGACGAUCCGUAGCUGGUUUGAAGAGGACGACCAGCCACACUGGGACUGAGACACGGCCCAGACUCCUGGGAGAGCAGCAGUGGGAAAUUUUGGACAAUGGGGAAACCUGAUCCAGCCAUCCCGCGUGUGCGAUGAAGGCCUUCGGGUUGUAAAGCACUUUUGGCGGGAAAACGGCACGGGAUAAUACCCCGAUGCAACUGGCGAAACACCUGCAGAAUAAGCACCGGCUAACUACGUGCCAGCAGCCGCGGUAAUACGUAGGGUGCAAGCGUUAAUCGGAAUUACUGGGCGUAAAGCGUGCGCAGGCGGUUCGGAAAGAAAGAUGUGAAAUCCCAGAGCUUAACUUUGGAACUUUGCAUUUUUUAACUACCGAGCUAGAAGUGUGUCAGAGGGAGGUGGAAUUCACGUGUAGCAGUGAAGGAAAUGCGUAGAUAUGCGGAGGAACACCGAUGGCGAAAACAGCCUCCUGGGAUAACACUGACGCUCAUGCACGAAAGCGUGGGAGCAAACGGGAUUAGAUACCCUGGUAGUCCACAUGCUAAAGCGAUGUCCAACUAGCUGUUGGGCCUUCGGGCCUUGGUAGCGCCCAGCUAACGCGCGUGAAGUUGACCGCCUGCAGAGUUACGGUCGCAAGAUUAAAACUCAAAGGAAUUGACGGGGACCCGCACAAGCGGUGGAUGAUGUGGAUUAAUUCGAUGCAACGCGAAAACCUUACCUACCCUUGACAUGUCUGGAAUCCCGAAGAGAUUUGGGAGUGCUCGCAAGAGAACCGGAACACAGGUGCUGCAUGGCUGUCGUCAGCUCGUGUCGUGAGAUGUUGGGUUAAGUCCCGCAACGAGCGCAACCCUUGUCGUGUUAGUUGCUACGAAAAGGGCACUCUAAUGAGACUGCCGGUGACAAACCGGAGGAGGUGGGGAUGACGUCAAGUCCUCAUGGCCCCUUAUGGGCAGGGCUUCGUCAUACAAUGGUCGGGACAGAGGGUCGCCAACCCGCGAGGGGAGCCAAUCCCAGAAACCCGAUCGUAGUCGGAUCGCAGUCUGCAACUCGACUGCGUGAAGUCCGAAUCGCUAGUAAUCGCGGAUCAGCAUGUCGCGGUGAAUACGUUCCCGGGUCGCAUACACCGCCCGUCACACCAUGGGGAGUGGGUUUUGCAGAAGUAGUUAGCCUAACCGUAAGGAGGGCGAUUACCACGGUAGGAUUCAUGACUGGGGUGGCAGUCGUAACAAAGGUAA
rnacentral:rRNA from 1 species